rnacentral:piRNA from 1 species
UGGCAAGUCAUCUCUGCAGCUGGUGGUC